CCUACGGGAGGCAGCAGUGGGGAAUAUUGCGCAAUGGGCGAAAGCCUGACGCAGCGACGCCGCGUGAGGGAUGAAGGUCUUCGGAUCGUAAACCUCUGUCAGCAGGGAAGAACGGUCACUGUGCUAAUCAGCAGUGAAUUGACGGUACCUGCAAAGGAAGCACCGGCUAACUCCGUGCCAGCAGCCGCGGUAAUACGGGGGGUGCGAGCGGUAAUCGGAAUUACUGGGCGUAAAGCGCUCGUAGGCGGUAUGUCAAGUCAAGGGUGAAAUCCCCGCGCUCAACGUGGGAACUGCCUUUGAAACUGGCAAACUGGAGUGUGUGAGAGGAUAGUGGAAUUCCAGGUGUAGGAGUGAAAGCCGUAGAUAUCUGGAGGAACAUCAGUGGCGAAGGCGACUAUCUGGCACAUAACUGACGCUGAGGAGCGAAAGCGUGGGUAGCAAACAGGAUUAGAUACCCUUGUAGUC
rnacentral:rRNA from 1 species